rnacentral:rRNA from 1 species
CAAUAGCGUAUAUUAAAGUUGUUGCAGUUAAAAAGCUCGUAGUUGGAUUUCUGGUGGGAGCGAUCGGUCUGGCGCUUAGCGCGAGUACUUGCAUCGUCUCCGGCCAUCCUUGGGGAGAGUCUGUCUGGCAUUAAGUUGUCGGGCAGAGGAUCCUCAUCGUUUACUGUGAAAAAAUUAGAGUGUUCAAAGCAGGCUUAUGCCGUUGAAUAUAUUAGCAUGGAAUAAUAAGAUAGGACUUUGGUACUAUUUUGUUGGUUUGCGCACCAAAGUAAUGAUUAAUAGGGACAGUUGAGGGUAUUCGUAUUCCGUUGUCAGAGGUGAAAUUCUUGGAUUUACGGAAGACGAACUACUGCGAAAGCAUUUACCAAGGAUGUUUUCAUUAA